UACGUAGGGCGCAAGCGUUGUCCGGAAUUAUUGGGCGUAAAGAGCUCGUAGGCGGUCUGUCGCGUCGGUUGUGAAAACCCAAGGCUCAACCUUGGGCCUGCAAUCGAUACGGGCAGACUAGAGUACUGCAGGGGAGACUGGAAUUCCUGGUGUAGCGGUGGAAUGCGCAGAUAUCAGGAGGAACACCGAUGGCGAAGGCAGCUCGCUGGGACGGUACUGACGCUGGAGAACGCGAAAGCGUGGGGAGCAAACAGG
rnacentral:rRNA from 1 species